AUGCAUGAAGAGGAUGAUGUGGACAAAAUACUCAUUUGCCUAAUAAUUCUGCACUCCCUGUACUUCAUCUCCACCAUACUUAACCCAAGGUUUAAAGAUCGCUUCUUCUCCAACAACACUGCUCCGGAGGCCAAGCUGCACCUGAAGCAGGAGCUGUAGAUGAUGUCCAGAGCUGAGGCAGAGGGGAGUUGGGCAGAAUCUGCAGAACCUCCUGCUAAACUGUUCCUCAAGGCCCAGGCCAGCACUAGCAGCAGUCUGGACACUGUAUUUGAAGAAAUCGCUAAGGAGCAGCCCCAGGCAGCACAGCCGCUGGCAGCAGGUGCUGCCAUUGAGCUCGACACAUACCUCGGAGAGGUCCCAAGCCCUCGUGAAGACAGUCCUCUGAAGUACUGGGGUGUCAACAAAAUCAGGUUCCCCACUUUGGCUAAAAUGGCGCAUAAAUACCUCUUAGCCCCAUGUAGCAGUGUGGAAAGUGAAAGGCUUUUUAGCUCAGUGUCACACAUUAUAGAUGAAAACAGAAACAGGCUGACUGCUGAUAAUGCAGAAAAGCUACUUUUCUUUAAAAAAAAA